UGGGGAAUCUUGCACAAUGCGCGAAAGCGUGAUGCAGCAACGCCGCGUGGGGGAAGACGGCCUUCGGGUUGUAAACCCCUUUCAGUUGGGACGAAGCUUCGACGGUUAAUAGCCGGCUGGAGUGACGGUACCUUCAGAAGAAGCCCCGGCUAACUACGUGCCAGCAGCCGCGGUAAUACGUAGGGGGCAAGCGUUGUCCGGAAUCAUUGGGCGUAAAGAGCGUGUAGGUUGUUCGAUAAGUCUGCUGUGAAAGUCCAAGGCUCAACCUUGGGAUGCCGGUGGAUACUGUCGGACUAGAGUACGGAAGAGGCGAGUGGAAUUCCCGGUGUAGCGGUGAAAUGCGCAGAUAUCGGGAGGAACACCAAUUGCGAAGGCAGCUCGCUGGGACGUUACUGACACUGAGACGCGAAAGCGUGGGGAGCAAACAG
rnacentral:rRNA from 1 species